AAUUCGCAAAGAUUUUCUCCUCCUUCAAAUUCACACGUUAUUCUGCAAUCCCUUCCAAAUUUAAACCAGACAAUCAGUUGUUAAUUUUCCAAUUUAUUUCCCAAAUCAUUUGACAAUUAUUCACCCAUUUAAGACACCACAAAUCAUGGUGUUUCUCUAGCCCUAAUCUUCUCUAAUCCCAUCGCCACUUCUUUAUAAUACUCCUUUCACAAAUCAAAUUUCACCCCACCCAUUUUCGCUUCUCUGCAAAUCUGCAAAAACUCCCAAGAAUUCUUCUCAAUUCACACUCAAUCGAACUCAAGGUAAUCUUGCAGAAUUUCCCCUCAAUUCUACAUGUUCUGAAACCAACGCAUUUAACUCUUUCCGGCGGAAACUGAGAACCAAACUCGAGAGAGAGUUAUCGGUCGUUCCUUCGAAAUCUGUUCAAGGUGAUAUCUCACAAGAGAAUCGUGAUCACAAGGGAAAGAAUGUAAUUCCGGAUUGAGCAGUCGAGGGCUGCAAACCCUACUUGGAUUAGUGUACACCUAUGGUAGACCGUGUGUCAGCGUACGGGUUGGCCGGUCUAGUGGCUUGGUUUGUGGCCACAUUCCAAGUCAUGUAUGAGCAGAUAUGGUAAACGUCUAUGGGAAAAUUGGUUGCGCAACCGCGAUUUUGAACAAUGGAAUAUUUUGGUGCAUCGGGUUGAGCGGCGACGAGCUUGGAGUGGUGUUGAGUCGAACCUGAAUUAUUGUUGGAUUUUAUUUUGAACUCCGAGGGUCAUCGUGUCUUCAUACACGGCGUCACUCUUAAUCUUGGAUGCUUCCGCUGAUGUAAUACUAUUUGUCACAAUUAUAUUUUGAACCCCUUCUUCUCUUGGACCAUAAAUUAUUAAAUAUGAUACCCGUUGUAUUUGGAUUCAAAACCUAAGCAUUACUCUGAUUAUUCCUCAGUUAUUUGGA